AUGUGGAAUAAUCGGAAGGUAAACGAAAUGGUAGAACACCCGAUCGACGCGCCACGUAGACGCGGAGGUGCAGAGCAAACAGUAUUCAUAGUAAUUAAACCAGCCGUCCUGGGCGGUAUGCAUGCAUGUCUAGAAUCGGUUCAUGAGGCCCUUGAACCACUUCUUCACCCCGCCUGCUUCCUCCGCCCCAAGGUGGUGGUCGCCGUGGUUGAAGCUCCUCGUGCUCGUGGUCGCCGGGCCCAGCCUCCUAGCCAGUUCUCCCAGUUCGUCAGCCUCGUGGUCGCCGUCGUGGGCGUGGAGGUGGAGGCGUCCGAGCAGCUUCGUGUUCAUUUCUUCAUCCUUGCCCUGCCUGUGGUCGUCGUCCUCCUCGUCCUGGUCGUGGUGGUGACGGUGGUGGAGGCCGACGCCGUGGACGAACAUGCUCGCCAUCAUCUCCACUUUCCACGCCUUCACUGCCUCGUUCCCCUCACCCUCCUCGCCGUGGGUGUCGGGUUCAGGCUCCGCGACCACCUCCAGCACCGCCUCCCAGUGUGCUUGCUCUUCUCCCAGCACCUCCGUGGGGAAGAAGGCCGCAGGUUGGACGCGGGCCUCGCCCAGGCCGGAGAACGCGCCGCGGCGGUGGAAGAAGCCGUGAUGGCGCGGGCGCGCCAACCAGAGGUGACCGCGGUGGGAUGGGAGCUCGUCCUCGUCCCAUGCGACGACCGGGGCCGGGAAGCUCGGAAGGGUCGUCGCCUCAGCAGCAGCAUCCGCUUGAUCAGCUCGAGUGAGGAGGACGGGGACGGGUGGGCCCUGGUCGUCGGAGAUGGCCUCAAGGUCGCGGCAGCUUGCGACGGACAGGAGGGACAGGAGGAGCAUGGCGAGGGUGGCGAGGCGGGCCAUGGUGGCUGGAGCAGAACGUCUCCUGUGGACUGA
rnacentral:rRNA from 1 species